UUGGUAGAGGCGCGGGGUUCAUCAGUACCGUUCCGCCACAGCCCGGCAGGCUGCGGAGCGGGAAAGGGGACACCGCCGAAGGGGCGCUUUGGCCGAAGGCGCCGCCUGGGGCGACGCAGAAGAUGCGGCGCACUGUCACAAGAACUGUGAAGCGCUAUCG
rnacentral:ncRNA from 1 species